UACAGAGGGUGCGAGCGUUAAUCGGAAUUACUGGGCGUAAAGGGUGUGUAGGUGGUAUUGUAAGUUAGAUGUGAAAUCCCCGGGCUCAACCUGGGAACUGCGUUUAAGACUGCAAAACUAGAGUACUGUAGAGGAUAGUGGAAUUUCCAGUGUAGCGGUGAAAUGCGUAGAUAUUGGAAGGAACACCAGUGGCGAAGGCGACUAUCUGGACAGAUACUGACACUGAGACACGAAAGCGUGGGGAGCAAACAGG
rnacentral:rRNA from 1 species